rnacentral:lncRNA from 1 species
CAGCACUUUGGGAGGCCGAGGCGGGCAGAUCACCCGAGGUCAGGAGUUCGAGACCAGCCCGUGCAACAUGGUGAAACCCUGUCUCUACUAAAAAUACAAAAAUUAGCUGGGGGCUGUGGUGCACGCCAGUAAUCACAGCUACUUGGGAGGCUGAGGCAGGAGAACCAUUUGAACCCGGGAGGUGGAAGUUGCAGUGAGCCGAGAUGGCACCACUGCUCUCCAGCCAGGGUGAUAAGGCAAGACUCUGUCUCAAAAAAAACAAAAAACAAAAAAACAAAAAAAAAACAAUGAACUUUUUGGACAAUAUGCUUCGUAUACUUCAUUCACUGAGUAUGCAAUCUAGAUUCACAAAGCUAGUUUUUAGGGUGACACUUCAUUCAGUGGAUAUGCAACUUAGAUUCCCAAAGCAAUAGGCCAGCAUUGGGACUGACUAGAUGUAGCAAAAUGACCCCAAUUUUCUAUACCAUGGUUUAGGGACACAAAACCAGGGAACACUUAACCAGGCCUAUUCUACUGGGGUGAUCAAAGAAGAGUUAAACAAAUCCAACCACAAGCACAAAAUAAAGCCCAUGUGAGCGGCACACGGCACACAUGUAACUUUAUAUUAUAAAUCAUUUCCUCAUAUUUUCAAAGGAAAGGAAGUUCUAUAAAGUGAUUGUAUUUACUACACAUCUGGUAUCAGAGAUAUUCAAGAUUGCUAUAAAAUGAUUAUUUAUAACUCAAUAGCUACUCUUGUUUACUACAUAGAAUACAUCACCAUCCCAUAUUGUUACAUUAAAUCAGCAUUUUCCCCACUUUUACUGCAUUUGUUAUCAAGCCUGUGGCUCAGGCAAAAAUGCCUUACAAAGAGCAGCCUAGAAGGUAAUAAAUAAGAUGCACUUCUAAUCUGCCUGGGGUUCGAAAGUUUAUUCCAGCUGAGUCCACAUGUAACCCAGAGAAGAAGCCCCUCUGUUUGUUCCCUUAGGCAUUCUUCCCUCUUGGAAUACAUUUCAAGGAGGGGCAGGGUAAUAUCAUCUUAGGUACAGAGCUCUGUAGGAGUACAAAGUACCCUAUGGAGCUAAGGCAGUGAGAAGACUGGACUGGGCAUUGGAUAGUGCUGACGGAGUGGGCAGGUUUUGUUCUUGUGGUCAUUCAGCAUCCACUCCUCCUUCUUUGGUAGUUGCAUUCCAAUUUGGGGGACGGAGGAUAGAAUUAUUCCUCCCUUAUGAGAUGAGUUUGGAGGAGAUUUUUACUCAAGGCUCCAUGCCUUUCUCUGGUUAAGGGAUAUUCACUUGACACAAGCAAGACCAAGUGAGCUCUUCCUAACCCAGGAGCCUCUCUGGGAUUUGAAUCACAAUCCCUCCUUGUGUGGAGGAAGACAAGAAACAGAGUGAUGAAAAGACAGAAAGCCAUCAGAGUUCAUUCAUUCGAGUGGUGGUUCUUGGAUAAGACUGCCCCCAUAUCCUAAAACCCCAAGAAAGCACCCGGUCCCUGUCCUCUGUAAGCCUGGUUCUAAAAUCCUAGGAGCCCCCUCAAACUCUUCCAAUAAAUUCCCCUGUGACUUUGUGGUUAACUUAGCUAGACUCUCUGUCUAUUACUUGCCAUCAAAGAACUUGAAGCCUAAACCCUGGGGCUGCCACGCCUUAGCUGAGUGGUCUUGAAAACUCACUUCACUCAACCCUAAAACAAACAGGACACAACCUGUCCUAUGGAGUUGAUCACACAAAUUGGCAAAUAGGAAAUUCCCAAUCUGGCGAGCGAGAUGGAUUGAGUUUACGCUGCUUCACACACUCUCUGGAGACUCCUUAAAGAUGUAUGUUGUAUAAAGAAUCAAUUCCAACUGCAGAAUGAAUGCUGACAGGCACCAUCAGCUCCUGCCCGUGUGUCUUCAACUCUCUCCCAUUGGAAAAAUCAAUGAAUCAGUAAUAAUAUUGUCCCCUCCUUCCUGUAAAGGAAAUCUGAGCUAAAUCCCAAGGCUGCCAUGUAAAUUUCCUCAUAUUGUUGCUUUCCUUCCCCCUCUCCCGCCCCAAGCCUUUGACAAAAAUGAUGGGCUGUGAUCUGUGUCCUAGUAGCAGGAAGCCUGUCAGACCUGACUCUUGCUGACUCUUUCAUCUCCCGGCAGCUCCAGGAAGCAAAAGAAAAAAAAAAAAAAAAGGUGGGGGAAUCUGCUGCCAUCACCCCCAUCCAAACCAGGCUCAGGAAAUUUUCCAGGGCCAGGCUGCCUUUGUGGAAGCUAUGUAAGGACUGGAGAAACACAUGUUCUCAUGCAAACAAACCCCAAAACAAAACAAGGGAUCCUGCCUUUGUACCUGGCCUGUCUCCAAAGGUGGUACAUUAUCUCCAAAGGUGGCCACCAUCAUUUCCUUCUCUCCCUAUAUGUGAUUUCCUUCUCUAUUGGCUCCAUUCAUCAAGAAGUAGAGGUGAUUCCUGCUCUUCCUCUUUGAACUUGGGCCAGCCUUGUGAUUUGCCUUGACCAACUGGACAUGGAGGAAGUGAUACUGUGCCGGUGCUUAGCCCGGCCUUUUAGAGGCCUGGCAUCUUCAGCUCUCUCUCAGGAGAAUACUUGUACCUGGAUCUUCACUAGGGGUAAGUCCUUGUUCUCGAUUUUAAACAUUUAUUUAGCCAACUAAGUGCUCUAUUAAUUCUAGUUGAAGGGGAGAUGCAGAGACAGUGUUCUAGUUGCUAAUGCUGUGUGAGAAAGCACCCCAGAAGGUCGUAGGUGAAACAACUAUCUUAAGAUGCUGGCUGAUCGGGGCUGGGGCAUUCAGAAGGGCCAAAGCAAGAGUGGCUUGUCCCUGCUCUAUGGUUCUUGGAUAACUCAAAGGGCUGGGGGCUGAGAGAGUGGAGGAAGGAGGACACACUUCCAGAUGGCUUGCUUGUUCAUGCACGUGGUUAUGCACCGGGCAGGAACAGGGACAGCCAGAGGGCCAAGCUCAAACUGACAGCUAAAGAGCCCAGAGGGGCAGUCCUUGGGGGAGGCGGUGCCCACUGCCUGCCUUAUAGACCGUAUCCCUACCAUCACCUUGACUUACUUUCCGCUAUAUGUUAUUGGAGGGAGCAGUCCCUAGCCGUCCUAGAUUCAAAUGAGGGGUAUAGACCUCACCUCCCAAGGUGGAGUCAGUAACAGGGAACUGUGGGCCACAUUUAAAACCAUGACAGGCUAGUGAAUGGCUUUCUGGGAGAUUUAUGGGUGAAGGGAGGAGGAGAGUCUUGAAGAAGCCCAGAUUCAGUCAUUCUAAGCGUUUGUCACAAAUGGAUCUAUCAUCUGGGUUUCAAAUACAGCUCUCAGAUGACUGCUCUUCAAGAGGCUGGGCACAGUGGCUUAUACCUAUAAUCCUAGCACUUUUAGAGGCUAAGGCGGAUGGAUCAGCUGAGGUCAGGAGUUCGAGACCAGCCUGGCAAAAACGGUGAAACCCCAUCUCUACUACAAAUACAAAAAUUAGCUGGGUGUGGUGGUGCACACCUGUAAUCCCAGCUAUUUGGGAGGCUGAGGCAGGAGAAUUGCUUGAACCCAGGAGACAGAGGUUGCAGUCAGCAGAGAUUACCACCACUGCAUUCCAGCCUGGGUGACAGAGUGAGACUCCAUCUCAAAAAAAUGAAACAAAAAACAAAACAAACAAACAAACAAAAAACAAAGACUGCCUUGUGUUUCCUUGCAGGCAGCCAGGGCAGAAUGCGGUGUUCUCAAGACUGCCAUGCUGGCUCAUCCAUACCUUGUUGGACUUGAUAAGUAUCGUAACCUAAUGAAGGAUGCCAUUCUGUGCUCUGCAAGGCCUGGGGGAGCCCCAGUGGGAAGGGAUCCAGAUGGUGCUGGGCCUGGGCCAAAAGUGAAAUGGGGGAGGACGGGUCCUUUCUCUCCUUUGUCCCUAACCUCCCCACUUCCUACUGCUGUCUGACUCAGAACCCUCAUGAAAAACCCAACUUUUUACACUGAUAUUUCCCAGAGGCCUAAUUGUGCAACAAGAAAUAAAAACACAAUUAGGGAACUGAGGUCCAGCAGGAAAUUCAUGUUACAUAAAUAAGACCUGGAGUGCAUAGGGGAGUGCCCCAGCUCUCAGCCUUGUUAGUAUUGAAGGCUCCGAGCACACAGAUCUGGGAUCCUCUGAUUUGGUGGAUAACCCUUGUGAACAAUAAUUCUCUGAAAAGGUAUUUGGAGGAAAGAGACUUUAUUCCUGUAAACAGUUUUCAAACUAGGGGAAUGCAGCUUUCAGUGUAAAAUGAAGGUGCUUUCCAGACAACAAAGGAGGGGCUGGGCUUUUAUAGAGAAAGUUCCUGCCCUGUUCCCACUCAGGUCCACUUAUGCAAAUAAAGGAUUCAAACUUGCUUAAUCUGAUUGGUUGAUGCUUGCUGAGUUCUGAUUUGUUGACACAGGUCAUAGUCUAUUGGUUGGUUCCGGCAACAUAAACAAGAACAGGAAGCUAUGAAAGUCCCAAAGUUAAGCAGAUGUGGGUUUUCUGGGAACUCAAAAACAUGUGUGACUUCUAGUCAGCAAGUUGCCGCUUGGCUCUAAAUUGAAUUUAGGCCCUGUUAGCCAGAGUGUGAACCUUGAGAGAGCCGGCCUUUCAAGGUUCACACUCUUCACAUGGGCUGGAGAGAUUCCUAUCAUAACUGAUUUAUCCAUUCACCCAUUGACAGGCACUUGGAUUGCUUCCACCUUUAGGGUGUUGUGGACAACAUCAACACUGCUACAAACAUGGGUGGACAAAAGGCUAGUUCUCCUCAACCAUGGUGUAUGUAGCUGGAGGGAAAAUGCCAAAAGCUGCAUUAUGAGAAACAGUAAAGUCAAAACUGGAAAGAUGGAUCAAAGCGUGAUGUCUCCCUGAAGCCCCUCCUACUAGGCUUGAGGUGAAGGAGAAGCACAGGAAGAAAAGUGCCUCAGUGCUCCAACAACUUUUUCCAAAGAAGCCCUCUUUCUCAUUUCCAACUUUAAACCUUUUAAAACUUUGAUUGGCAUAGAGCUAAGGGUUGGAGAACAUUGUCACUUCCCUCCUUUGCAAGUCUGUGUGGAUAGUUGUAUGUUAUCUCCAAAGGUGGCCACCAUCAUUUCCUUCUCUCCCUAUAUGUGAUUUCCUUCUCUAUUGGCUCCAUUCAUCAAGAAGUAGAGGCGAUUCCUGCUCUUCCUCUUUGAACUUGGGCCAGUCCUGUGAUUUGCCUUGACCAAUUGGACAUGGAGGAAGUGAUACUGUGCCAGUGCUUAGCCUGGCCUUUGAGAGGCCUGGCAUCUUCAGCUCUCUCUCAGGAGAGAAUGCAGCAGGCAUGUAAGAAGGCUGAUGAAUCAGACCACCAUAUUAUGAGGAAGCCCAAGCUAGCCACAUGGAAAUGGCACACAAAGGAAAGCUGAGGAACGAAACCAACAGAAGCAUCAGGUCCCCAGCCAUAUGACCCAGUUAAGCCACCUUAGCUAUGUGGUAUUCCAGGUAAGGUUCCCUGCUAUGUGGUAUUCCAGGUAAGGUCCCAGAAUUUAGUCAUGGAGGUGAGCCAUUCCCUCUGUGCCUUGUACAAAUUUCUGAGCCAAAUAAUUUUGAGAAAAUAAAAGACCUAUUUUAUACUGUGAAGUUUUGGUGCAUGCUGUUAUGUAGCAAUAGAUAACCUAGAGCAGUGGUCUAGCACUUCAUUUUGGAAUGUGGGAGUACUUAGUUUACUGCUUUAUUCUUAGCCUUUUGAAACCUCAGCAGAAAAUGAGACAAGUAAAAUCCCAUUUUAACAUCCUGUUACAUAUAUUUCAAGAUCAUCUGUGAAAAUGUACAUGUGAUGCUUUGUUAACCUUUAACAGCCUGUCUUAAAAGACACUAUCGUCGAGCAGAAGCCUCUAAAAACAGAAUCUUUACAAUCAGCAACAGGCUGGCUCCUGACACUUCGGGGGAUGAGGCAAGAGUACGAAUAGAGACCUACAUACCACAUGUUUAGAUACUUAAAGGCUGUAAAUCAAGCUAACAACCUAUUAAACAAAAUAUGCUGUAGCUUGCUGCUUUGAAAAAAAUACUGUCAUGAUGACCUUGAAGUCCAAGUUCAAAUUUAGAAUUCUCAACUGUCUGGAAUUCCGCAGUGGAAUAUGGUGGUGUGGGGAGAGCUAACCCUGGCUCCAGGCCUUUGUUCCAUAGCUCACCCUCUCUUCUCUCAUUCCUUCUGUGCUGUGGGAGGACUCAUUCUCAUCCACGUGGACACCCCAGCACAAACAACCAAACUCCAGUCACCAGCACACUCAGGGGUAUGAUCCAGAAAGAGGAAAGCUAUGUCCCUCUAGCUCUGGGGAUGCCUUGUCCUGGAGGGAGGCACAAAACUGGAUAAGAGUCAG